rnacentral:rRNA from 1 species
GACGAACGCUGGCGGCGUGCCUAACACAUGCAAGUCGGACGAGUCGCGAAAGGGUGAGUAACGCGUGGUAACCUACCUAGUAGAGGGGAAUAACUAGUGGAAACGAUAGCUCAUACCGCAUACAUCUGAAAGGACCUGCGUUGUAUUAGCUAGUCGGUAGGGUAAUGGCCUACCUAGGCAACGAUACAUAGCCGGCUUGAGAGGAGGACCAGCCACACUGGAACUGAGACACGGCCCAGACUCCUACGGGAGGCAGCAGUGGGGAAUAUUGGACAAUGGGGGAAAGCCUGAUGCAGCCAUCCCGCGUGUAUGAUGAAGGCCUUCGGGUUGUAAAGUACUUUUAGCGGGGAGGCGGUACCCGCAGAAGAAGCACCGGCUAACUACGUGCCAGCAGCCGCGGUAAUAC